GGGACUGUAGCUCAGCGGUUAGAGCAGGCGGCUCAUAACCGCUUGGUCGAUGGUUCGAAUCCAUCCAGUCCCA
rnacentral:tRNA from 1 species